rnacentral:rRNA from 1 species
UACGUAGGGGGGCGAGCGUUGUCCGGAAUUACUGGGCGUAAAGGGCGCGCAGGCGGCCGUGUAAGUCCGCUGUGAAAGACCGGGGCUCAACCCCGGGGUGUCAGCGGGGGACUGCAGGGCUGGAGUCUCGGAGAGGGAUGCGGAAUACCUGGUGUAGCGGUGGAAUGCGUAGAGAUCAGGUGGAACACCGAUGGCGAAGGCAGCAUCCUGGACGAGUACUGACGCUGAGGCGCGAAAGCGUGGGGGAGCGAACGGGG